AGCUUUUAAAAAAAUUCAGCAUACUGUAUCAUGCACACAAUGAAGGGAGUGCACUGCAGACAAAGAGCAUUGGAAGGCAUUAUCCUCCGCCAGUCUAGGAAGCCACCCUCCAGCAUCCAAAAGGUACGGAAGCAGGGGGUUGGUUAAAAAUAUGUAAAUUAGGACAUGUGUGUGUGUCAGUGUGUAUGUGUAUCCGUGUGUAUAUGUAUCUGUGCAUGUGUCAGUGUUGGUGUAUGUGUGUGCCAGUAUUGGUAUAUGUGUGUGUCAUUGGGAAUAUAUGUGUGCGUAUCUGUGUGUUAAUUUGUAUCUGUGUCACUGUGUGCGUGUGUUGCAAUCAAACACCAACACUACUUACAAACAAACACCUGUAUUAAAACACCAACAGUUAUAUACAAACACACCCCUGCGUCCAAUCACCAAAACUACACAAAAAUAAACCCCUUUAUUAAAAAACAAACACUACAGACACACCCAUGCAUAUAAACACACUACACACAACUAUGUCACUUUUUUCAUGUGGCAACAGUACAUACAAACACAAUUGCAUACAAAUACCAACACUAUAUACAAAUAGACCCCCAACCUUCAUACACAUACUUCAUACAAAAAUAUGCUUACAUUAAAAACAUACAAACAUUGCUCACAAGUAAAUCCCUGUAGGAUGGGCAGAUGGUAGAUCCCCAGCUGGCAACUCAUCAUAGGAGAUGUAUGACAGAGAGGAACCUAUCUUUUGGAUACCCUGGUGCUAGGGGGUUCAAUAAAAUUCCUUGCACCUGGGCCUCUCAACAUUAGUUCCACCACUGUCUAGCCAUGUGAGAGUUGCCUCUCCUACUAAAUUACACUUUCCGUAUGAGCAGCAUUUGGCUGAGCUUUUAGACAAGAUAAUUAAAUGUAAUGCACAUUAGUUUGUUCUAAUUGAUUAUACAUCGAUACAUUUACAUCGACAUAUCACACUGUGUUUAAAAUGUAGAAUGCGUAGCUAUUGUUUUACCAACGCUUGUAAUCUCAUUUGAUACUACAAAAAAAGACUAAGUUGCAAAUAAAAAAGAUUAGAAAUAUAUUUGUACAUAAAUUCUGCUUUUUCACAAUGAUGUCCAGUGUUGGCUAAUCACAUCACUCCAUGUCUUGGUAAGAUCUUAAAAGAAAACUCCAACAUUACAGAUAAAUACAUUAAAAACAUAACACUGGAGUGCUCUAAGUUUGGCCAUCCUGGACGAAUUGGGAUCCUACGGCACAAGCACAGGAGCUCUAGAAGUUUGAAACUUGAAGGAUGACUACGCACCAUAGGAAAAGUAUCUUCCCAAAUCUGGAAUGUAACACUAACCUAUAUUGAUCUAGGGAACCUGUCAAAGUGCUCAAGUACUGCAUGGAGUUAGCAAACAGUGUAUUUUUAUUCCCAGUCUGUUCACUCUCUUCAAAGAGCAAACAUCUUGGUCUAACUCCUUGACAUAAUGUUUCUACGUACAUCGCAGAGACAGUUCUGCAAAAACAUACACAGUCAACAAUUUAAAAAACAGUUAUGUUGUAAGUUAGAGAAGAAGAGUGUGCAGAGAAGGGCUACUAAACUGGUUCAUGGAUUGCAGGAUAAAACUUACCAGGAAAGGCUAAAGGAUCUUAACAUGUAUAGCUUGGAGGAAAGACGAGACAGGGGGGAUAUGAUAGAAACAUUUAAAUACAUAAAGAGAAUCAACACAGUAAAGGAGGAGACUAUAUUUAAAAGUAGAAAAACUACCACAACAAGAGGACCUAGUCUUAAAUUACAGGGACAAAGGUUUAAAAAUAAUACCAGGAAGUAUUACUUUACUGAGAGGGUAGUGGAUGUAUGCAAUAGCCUUCCAGCUGAAGUGGUAGAGGUUAACACAGUGAAGGAGUUUAAGCAUGGUGGAAUAGGCAUAAGGCUAUCCUAGCUUUAAGAUAAGACCAGGGACUAAUAAAAGUAUUUCAAAAAUUGGGCAGACUAGAUGGGCCGGUUCUUAUCUGCCGUCACAUUCUAUGUUUCUAUGUUAGAAUCUUAUGUUAGAAGACACUUUACAUUUUUGCCUCUGCCUGUUCCGAAGCCUAAAUACGUCUCCUGUGGAAAAUGAUCUUUAAUUUGCCUGUCACAUGGAAGCAGUUGGGAUUAAAUCCUUAAUCUUCUAAUUAUUUAUAAAUACUACUUAACCCAAAAUAUUUGAGGUGGUGUCUUAAUUUUAAUCUCCUUACAAACAACACAAUAAAGAAUGUACAAAAAGCCUCCAAACAGUUAUGAGACAUGAUGUUUGAUGUUUGAUAAAAUAAAAAAGAUUUCAGCAUCAUGCGUAUUGCGUCUCAAGGUGACGUCUUGCAAGGUAGAGCUGUUGGGGCCAUCAAGAAAUGUAACUCAUGGAAAGGAAUCCAUGCAUCUUUCAGCAGAUAUAAACAUGAGCUCUCCAACAGAAUCACACUUGGCAACCAUGUUAAACAAAUAUUAAGUGCCAUGUGAUUAAGCAGCAAUGGCUCCGUAACCUGCUUUUAAUUAAGCUUUGCAUGUGCUCUGAGGAAAGCUAAUACAACUUUCUAACAAAGAGCAAGGUUAGAGCUGGGUUAAAGUGAGGAUAAAGUCUGAUCAGGCAAAAGGUCAUUUAAAAUCAAUUUGCCAUGGCAUUUAAUGUCAGGGCUCUAUGCAUUCCACAAAAUGUUAUAUUUACAUGUGAUGCGACAAUGUUUUAAGCCAGUGUUUAUAGAAUAGGAUAUCAUCACGAGGGAAGUGGGAAACUCUGGGAUUUCAGAAAAUGUAUUAAAAAAAUGCAACUAGACAGCAUAAGAAGAACUAGCAGCUUCAUCUACAUAUAAUACACUUUCCUCUAUAUAUUAUUAAUUAUUAUUACAUGAAGAAGAAAUGAUAGAAUAUGUAUAGGUAAUUUCCUGAAUGUUUCAGGCUCAUUUUUCUUUUAUAAAAGACAAAAUAGUGUGUAUACUACUUGGCUAUGUGGGUAUACCUAAGUGAGAGCCCAGGUAAGAGUCGCCAAAGUUUAGUUAUAGCUUAAGUGUGUAGGACGUUAGAAAGGUUUAUGUAAUUGCACCUGGCUGCUCUUGGUGGAUAACUGCCCUGUUACCAUGUGGCUAUGGGUGGGAGGGUGGAUGGCACCAGAGCUUAUUGAGCAGCCAUGAACGCAUCAAGAGUAGAGAUGUCGCGAACUGUCCGCCGAACUGUUCGUGAACUAUCCGACGGCGAACAAUAGCGUGUUCGCGUUGGGCGAGCAUAUCAGAUUUCCGGUCCGCCCCCUAUACGUCAUCAUUGAGUAAACUUUGACCCGGAACCUCACAGCCAGCAGACACAUUCCACCCAAUCAGCAGCAGACCCUCCCUCCCAGGAAGUGUCUGCUGACUGUGAGGUUCCGGGUCAAAGUUUACUCAAUGAUGACGUAUAGGGGGCGGACCGGUAAUCGUAUAUGUUCGCCCAACGCGAACACGCUAUUGUUUGCCGGCGGACAGUUCGCGACAUCUCUAAUCAAGAGUAUUGUAGGGACUAUACAUAAUAUUAAUAAUACUAUAGCUUUUUGGAUUCUCAGGUAGGGAGUAUAUGAAAUUAAUAAAAAAUAAAAAAAAAAAAACAAUUGUCCCUGUUCCCGAGGACUUAGAUUUUUUUUAAAGUAAGUGUAUUUAGAUAAUGCUAAAACAAGACCCUUUCCACGUAGGUGAUGGCGGGGUAAUGAGAACACCAGGAUUGUGACACUCUUGUCCCCAUGCAGGUGUGUUUUCAAUAAAAAAACAAUGUAAACCUUGCAUGGUCCACCAUGUUCUCACCCUCACCACUGCAGUCAAACAAAAAAACAUCUCACCAGCAAAGCAGUGAACUCGAUAACUUUUAAGCUUACAUUUAUUGGUACCUCCAAAAAUGCAAUGCAUACAUACAAUACAUACACACAGACUGCUGAACACAUUCACACACAGCCUGCUGAAUACAGGCCCACACCGACUGCCGAGUACACACACAGAGACUGCUGGGUACACACACAUAGACUGCUGAGUACACACAGACAGACUGCUGAGUACAUGCACACUACACUGAAUGCACACACCCAAACACACACACACAGAGUCUGCUGAAUACACACACACAUACACAGACUGCUGAAUACACACAGAAUGCUGAAGACACACACAGACUGCUAAAUGUACACAGGCUGCUGAAUACAUACAGACUGCUAAAUACACACACAGAUUGCUGAAUACACACACAGAGAGACUGCUGAAUACACACAGACUGGUUUAUGCACACAAACACACACACACACACAGACUGCUGAAUACAUAAAGACUGCUGACUACACACACGCACUGCUGAAAACACACACAGAAACUGCUGAAUACACCCAGGCAGCUGAAUACACACAGACUACAGUGAGGGGUGCAGUGUAUGUGUUUGUGUGUAGGGGUGCUGUGUGUGUGUGAGAGGUGCAGUUUGUGUUAGGAGUGCAGUGUGUGUGUGUAGGGUGCAGUGUGUGACAGGUGCUGUGUGAGGGGUGCUGUGUAUGUGUGUGUGAGGGUGCUGUGUGUAUAUGCUGAGUGUGUGUGUGGGGGGGGGGUUGCUGUGUGUGUGAGGGGUGCUGUGUGCUUGUUUGAGGGUGCUGUGUGUGUGAGAGGCACUUUGUGUCAGGGGUGCUGAGUGUGUGUGAGGGGUGCUGAGUGUACGAGGAUUGCUGUGUAUUUGUGUCAGAGGUGCUGUGUGUGUAAGGGGUGCUUUGUGCCAGGAGUGAUGUGUGUGUGUGUGAAGGGUGCUUUGUGAGAGGGGUGCUGUGUGUGUGUGUGAGGGGUGCAGUGUGUGACGUGUGCUGUGUGUGUGAGGGGUACAGUGUGUGUGUGUGAGGGAUACUGUGUGUGUGUGUGAGGGGUGCAUUGUAUCAGGGGUGCUGUGUGUGUGUAAUGGGGUGCUUUGCCCUGGUGGUCCAGAGGUGGUGAGUUGUCUAUAUCCUGAAGCUUCUCUGGCUGCCAGCUUUCUUUACUCCUCCCACAAGCAGAAUGCUGUGUCGGAGCAUUGCCAUAGUAACACGCAGCAAAGCUCUGCACAGUAUGCUCGCGGGAGGAGCGCUCUGCCUCCCAGAUCCUCCAACCCUCCCUAUUACUAACAAAGGUCCUUUGGGCAGGUGAGGGAGCUCUUUGAUCUCCUCACCGGCCGGAGAGGGCCCACAGCAAGAAAGCUUGUCUCCUCUGUCGGUCUGGGCACAUUGGCAUCACGGUGGGGCCCCUAGGCUUGUGGAGCCCCCAGGUAACUGCCCAGCGUGCCCAUGCGGAAAGAUGACCUUACACACAAGCUCACUACAGACAAGCUCACUGACACACACAAGCUCACUCACCUGGCAGUGGAGGCUGUUGCUGGGAGGUCAGGUAGCCAUCCUGGGCCUCUUCCUCCUUCAGCAAGAUCUGCUGCUUAGCAGGGGCGUGGGGCCGGAGCCUGCGUCCUUGCAGUGGAGCAGGAGUCUGUGUGCCAGGGAAGCUGCAGGGAAUCAGAAGGGAGACUGUUAGUGCUCCCUCUGACCCCAGCAGCCCCCAGCAUCUCUCUCCAGCCCUCACACAUCUCCUAGCACCUCUGUCCUGAAUUCCCUUGGACUGUAACAGGCUGUUACAGUCCAAGGGAACAUAAUAAAAGCACAUAGCUCAGCAAGUAGCCGGGACUGUCCCAGGAGAAUUAAUUGCCAGGGACAGACUCUAACUUGCCGGGAUUGUCCUGGCAAAAACUGGACAGUUGGCAACUAUGUAGAAUUAUGUAAUUUAGCAUAUAAGGACGAUGACGAGGUCAGGACAAUAAGCACAACGCUGUGCCAAUUUUUCAAUUAAGAGAAAAAAAAUAUCCAGGAUAAUUGGAAUUCCAGAGCCAUAAUCUUAAAGGGACACUAUAGUCACCAGUGCAACUACAUGUAUUCCUGACCCUAUAGUGUUAACACAACCAUCUAGCCCCCCUGGGCCCCUCAUGCCUCCAUAAAUAUAGUAAAAAUCUUUAUUCAAGCCAGAAGCUGUAAAUCUGCAUGCUGUUAGACACAGGAAAAACAAGCAGUCUGCUGACAUGUGAUAGCCUGAUCUAAUCACAGUGCUUCCCCAUAGGAUUGGCUGAGACUGACAAGAAGCAUGAUUCAAACACAGCCCUGGCCAAUCAGCAUCUCCUCAUAGAGAUGAAUUGAAUCAAUGAAUCUCUAUGAGGAAAGUCCAGUGACUGCAUGCAGUGGGAGGAGAUAAUGAAUAACAGGAUGCUCGUGCACAGCAGUUCUGAGUGGAUGGAGGCAUAUUAUGCCUCCAUCAACUCAGAGGUCCCUCUGGUUCACUCUGAGUGACUGCAACUGGAGGUGUUCCUAGCUUUCAAUGUAAACACUGUAUUUUCUCAGAAAAAACAGUGUUUACACGAGAAAGGCUGCAGGGAGCUAUAGUUCUCACCUGAACAACCUCAUUAAGCUGAAGUUGUUCAGGUGACUAUAGUGUCCCUUUAACAAGAGAAACAGGGUAUCUGUCGGCCUCUCAGCUGAAGCUGGAGAAAAGCACAAGUGUACUCCCACAAGCCAAUGGGGGAACCAUGUCAAGCUUCGUGGAGUGUUGAAGGAUGAUAAGCUGAAAGUCAGGAGCUGUUGUCCCAAGCAUCCUGGAUAAUGUGGGGACGGACUAUAUAUGUCUAAUUGUAGGGCAGCACAUGUUUCCACUGUGCUUUGUGAGUGCAAGAAGACAAAUCCUGUGGCACAGAGGCAAAAUAUAAAUAACACUCUAUUCAUGAGAGUUUAUAGAAAAUGCCUGCAGCACGUAAAAUGUCCUAGAAAUUGUAUCUGAAAGGAUGGAAUGUCAGCGAGAGAUGCUACAAGAAAUGGCUUCCUUUCAGCACCACAGUCAGGCCAUGUCCCUCUUCCGGACUAUUUUAACUUGUUAUUUUCCAUGUACUGCACAUAUGGUUCUUGAGGAAAAAAAUUAUAAAAUGAAAAAUCACUGCGAUAUUUAUGUAUUUUAGUUAGGCAGCAGAUAAUUGUGUGGUGUCCCUAGUAUGUGCUUAGAUUAUCUAGCAAAACAAAAGUGUUUUCUUAAAAACAAAAUAAACAAAGUUUCUGUUUUCGGAAAUUCUGCCAGUGAUUUUUGAAAAGUCCUUUUCAGCGUGUGAUCCUUGUUUAAUUCAGUACACCGAUUUCAAGUUCAGUUCUAUGCUGUGUUGCACCGCACAAAAAAUGUAUUUCACUGCACGCAAGCAUUUUGUAACAUGAUGCAAUGGAGAGAAUUUUGUUACCAGUGAAAUCCAAGUACAGGAAAACAAAAGGAUUUUUCUAUUUUAUUUUUCAAUCAUGGAAACUCUCUGUGUUCCAGCUUCAUAAAAAUGUAAUGGUUCCCGUGAGGAUUCAUUCACAAUGCAAACCAUUUGUGCACACAUCUGAACACGCUUGCUACAAGUAAAUAUAUAUAUAUAUAUAUGAAUUUUACCCUAUUUUGAAGAAUUUUAUUUUUAUAAAUGACUUAUUUAAUAAGGUCUCAUGCAAUAGCCUUUUAUUCCCUCUUUCUAUCAAUGAAAGAUGUAUCAAAAUUCGAGCAGAACAACUGGCUGCGGAUUUCUCCUCUGGAACUAAAGGUGAUGAAUAUUUUUAUAAUAAAAUCUUUAAAAGAUAUAGAAAACAGUGGCGAUGCUAUAAAAACACUGUAGAAGAAGACAUUAGAAUCUACUUGGAUUUGUCAGUCUUGGUUUAUAAAAAAAAAAUGUAUAUGUCCUUUUUUAACAGCCAGAGACAUUCAUUCUUCUGACUAAAGAAGACUCAAUAUUUCAGUUGUCUGUGUUUUUCAAACACUUCUCCACAGGGUUUUAAAUACAUAUGACUGCAUAGUCUCCCAAUGGUUGUUUUCUGUCUCUUAAGUUUUUACCAACGUGGGAAUAUAUUCACGAAACUUUGAACUGUAGGGAAUUUAAAACCAAAUUAAUCAAUUCAGGCAAAAAGCAAUAAGUUGGGCAAUUCUGUUUUCAAUUUAUUAAAAUAGAGAAUUUAGUAAAAAAGAUCCAUAACUCUCAACUUCAGCGGUCCCAGACUCGGGACGCCGGAGGUAGGGGGAAAGGCGGCUGGUACAGGCAGAAAGGGACGGGUCAAUGCAUGUCAAUCAUUUUAGCCAAGCAUCAGAGGGCAGACCCUGCAGAGAGCCCUGUUUCAGGCCUAGUGUCUUGAAGAUGGCGGGAGCACAUCUUAUCAUGGGCUCGUGCUAGGAUGGCAUCACAGGACCUGUAAAUCCGUGCUGUUACACCAAAAUCUCCCAAGGUUGGGAGGCAUGAAACCCCUUAGUGCUAUGCUUUAUUUAACAGGUGUUUUAUAUUGGGCUGUGGAAGGUUAAGAUUUGGAAAAAGACUCGCUGUGGAUUUUAGUUGAUGGUAUUGCUGUUCCAUAUUAAAGUAAGAGUUUUCUAGUUGCUGUUUUCAGAAUGGACUGCAAAGAUAGUUAGUAGUCAGGUAAAGCAAAUAGUAACACAUUGCUGUAGUCAGAAUGGGAAAGGAUUAGUUACAUUUUCUUGUCUUUAUGGUGACACAGAAAGCACCACAACCACUAGAAUAUGCUUAAGUAGAAGCUAUAUCGGUUCCAUGAGCUGGUACUCCUCAGUCGAUGAAUUCCAUACAAAUUUGAACAGAUACUAUUGUACCUAUGGAGCAGCACAACUUAGUGGAAUAGGGCUUUGACAGAGCUAGGAGGCGGGCAUUCAUAGUUGGUGUGUUUUGAUUGGCUAGCUAUAUGGGAUGGGCAGGCUGAUACAUAUAGGGCUGCCGUCUUUAAAUGUUCCCAUUCUAAUGCUGUCUCACCGACCUUGUUGUUGUUACCAGCACUGCUGGUGGGGCUUCAGCCCUGGGAGAAUUCCUUUUUCUUUUGCAGGUUCAUCAAGGGGUCUCUGUUUACAGCCAUACUGGAGUGAAUCAAGAGAGCAUUCCAGGAGAAGGGAGCUGACUGGGUUCAGAAGCAGCUGAAAUCACUGAUGACAGCAGAACUGAGAGGCUUUAUGGCAGACAGUGAAGGCCUAAUGGGCCAAGGCAGCAAAGGAAUCAUAGCAGGGCCCCAGUACAUCACGGGUGCUGUUCAGGAACACAGUAGGCUUAAUACUGACAGGAAAGGUAUCAGAUUUGAACAUAGUAGAUCCAGUGAUCAUCAUGGCAAGGAAGUGGAACAGGAAUCCUUUAGCAGCAGGAGUUACAGUUUCAUCAUGAGGUCUGUGUUUGCAGCCAUAGUGAAGGGAAUCGAGAGGGCAACCCAGAAGGGAGCUGACUGAGUUCUGAAACGGCUGAAAUCACUGAUGACAGCAGAACUGAGAGGAUUUAUGGCAGACAGUGCCGGCCUAAGGGGCCUCGCCAGCAAAGGAAUCACUGCAGGGCCCCAGGACACGAGGGAUGCUGUUCAGGACCGCAUGAGGCUUAAGACUGACACACACAGAUCAACAUAGCAGAUCCAGUGAUUAUCAUGGCAAGGAAGUGGAACAGGAAUCCUUUGGCAGUUGGAGUGGCAGGUCUGGGAGUUGGUUGCCAGCUGUUUUAUUUAGGAACCUGGCUUCAGAAACCAUGCCAGCAGCUGCGGCAGCAGCUUCCGGAACGGGAAGACGAUGAGAGGCAGCCCCGCAGUUUUCGGCGACUGGAGUUUCAAGUGGUGAGUUGAAUACUGCACAACGUGGUGGGAAUUUACUAGUUUUAAAAUCUUUUCUAUAUUCAUAGGGUACAAUGAUCAGGGCCGAAUUAACGUAGGGGCUAUUGGAGCUGCAGCUCCAGGCCAAUGCCCAUGGAAUAGGCCCAUUGAUUUUUACUCACUACUCUGGCCGGUAUUUAUUUGACAUUAGGUUCCCCCCCCCUAUUAGUAUUUAGGGCCCCCACCCACCGCUCAGGGGUGGGGGCCAGGGGGGAGGACAUUAGGUCCCCCCCUUAUCCCAAUUUAGGGCCCCCACGCUCAGGGGUGGGAGCCAGGGGGGAGGACAUUAGGUCCCCCCCUUAUUAGUAUUUAGGGCCCCCACCCACCGCUCAGGGGUGGGGGCCAGGGGGGAGGACUUUAGGUCCCCCCCCUUAUUUUACUGUUAGGCCCCCACCUGCAGUUCAGGGGUAGGGGGGCCAGGGAGGCAAUAGGUUGAUUUUUACUCACUACUCUGGCCGGUAUUUAUUUGACAUUAGGUUCCCCCCCCCUUAUUAGUAUUUAGGGCCCCCACCCACCGCUCAGGGGUGGGGGCCAGGGGGGAGGACAUUAGUUCCCCCCCUUAUCCCAAUUUAGGGCCCCCACGCUCAGGGGUGGGAGCCAGGGGGGAGGACAUUAGGUCCCCCCCUUAUUAGUAUUUAGGGCUCCCACCCACCGCUCAGGGGUGUGGGCCAGGGGGAGGACAUUAGGUACCCCCCUUAUUCCAAUUUAGGGCCCCCACCCGCCGCUCAGGGAUUGGGGCCAGGGAGGAGGACAUUAGGUCCCCUCCCUUAUUUUAUUGUAGGCCCCCCCACCCACCGCUCAGGGGUGGGGGCCAGGGGGGAGGACAUUAGGUCCCCCCCUUAUUUACUGUUAGGCCCCCACCUGCAGUUCAGGGGUAGGGGGGCCAGGGGGGCAAUAGGUCCCCCCUUCAGGUUAGAAGCCCCCACUCGCGCAGCACGGGUGGGGGCUGUGGAGGGGGGACUUUUUUUUUUUUCAAGUGAGCAGCCAUAGGCUGCUCACUGUUUAAUAGACAUGCCCCUACUCGCAGUAUAGCGAGUAGGGGCAUAAUUUACUAAUACUAAGUAAUCUUUACUUUAGUAUUAGUAAAUUUGGCUGAAAGAACAAUUUAGGUCUUUCAGCCUUUAAGUAGAUAGCUCCCUAAUACCGUGGGAAUUAGGGAGUUAUCUACUUAUUCAUUCCUGUCAUUACACUGACUGGCUGAGUAACUUACAUUUUAUAUGAAUGUAUGUUACUUUAUUGUUGUAAGUGUUGCAAAUGCUUACAACUGAAUCCUGGCUAUAUACUUUUUAUUUAAAUUGUAUACAAUGUAACAUUCUUCAUUCUUUCCCUGGAUAAGUAUAUUAGUUCUUAGGUAAUACUGUGCUUCGGCACUUCGACACUUCGGAACUUCGGCAACUUCGGAACUUCGGCACUUCAGCACUUCGGAACUUCGGCACUUCGCAAUUCGACACUUCGGAAAUUCAGUAAUUUCGUGUCUUUCUUCGGCAAUUCGGCAAUUCAUCUAUUCGGACACACGGAAGUACCUGAAUUGUUGUGUGUAUGGAGUUCUGCCUGUAGCCUUUGUGCAUUGUGUUUAUGGCAAAGCUAUGUUUCCUGACUGUGUGUGUAUGAUGAAUGUCUUCAGCUGGUGACUGUGACAAGGUGAGUAAAGGGGUACCAGUGGCAGGGAGAGUGUGACAGGGUGAGUGGAGGUAAGUGUGUCAGGGCAAGUCUGGCAUGGAAGGAGGGACGAGUGUGACAGGAUUAAGGGGGGUUAAUGUGAGUGGAUACAUUAAGAGGCUGACAGUGUGGGGGGUGAUGACAGUGUAGGGAGGGGUAACAAUGUGUGGGGUGGUGACAGUGUGAGGGGAUGCUAACAGUGUGUCUGGGGAGGCUGUGUGUGUGAUGGGGGUGAUACUGUGUGCGGGGGUGAUCCUGUGUGUGAGAGUGAUGGUGUGAGGGAGAGAGGGUGAUGGUGAGAGGGAGGGGGGGUGAUGGUGAGAGGGAGGGGAUGAUGGUGAGAGGGAGGGGUGGUGAUGGUGAGAGGAAGGGGCGAUUAUGGUGAGAGCUGCAGACCAUGUAUAUCGCGAGACCCUUCAGAACGUUGCCGUGGUAACCCGCGGCAAAUGCUCUGAUUGGCCAGUUUUCAUGAGACACAUGGUCUGCAGCUCUGCACAUUGUGGAGCUGCAGACUGGUGUCUGCGAUUGCUGGCCGGGCAGACAGGAGGGGCCUCACACCCGGCAGCAUACUGAGCAAGCUGCCUGGCCCCCCUCCUGGUGUUGGGUCACUGACCAAGGAACUGACACAGUCUGCCCUAGGCGGUUUAGGCGGCUGUGAGGCCCCAGCCAGCCUAAUUAGAGAUCCGCCUCUGGGUGUGGCCUAUAAAUGUAGUGUUAAUGAUAAUUUUGUAUGGUGAUAUAUACGUAUAUAAUAUGAAUAAACUGUGAUGGGUGCCAACCAGGGCCAGAUUAAGAGCCCAGUGGGCCUGGUGCUGACAAUUAUGAUGGGGCCUAAUUACAGAAUCUUAUCGACCAAAAACACUAAAACAGUCAUACCUCUCAACCGUUAUGUAUCUGAUGGAGUUGGUGUUGGAGGGAAACUCAAAGGAUGCAGCUAUAAGAGAACAUAUACUCUAUGCUAAUCUCUUUAUCUAAUUUAUACUUUCAUCUUUCAAGUAAAUCCAUACCCCCUAACAGCAGUGUCCAGUGAAGCAGGAAGUCAAUGGGUGGGGGGAAAAGGAUGGGCCACUGACGCAAAUCACGUGACCAGAACUGCCAAAAGGGUGAACAUGCCCAAAAAGGGGGCAUGUCUGUCCAAAGUAUCAGUGUCAGUGUCCCUAGGUAUCACAGUGUCAGUGUCCCCAUGUCGCCCAGUCCCCUAGUCUUCCAGUAUCAGUGACCCCAUGUCUCAGUGUCUCAGUGUGUCCCCAUGUCACUAGGAUACUAGAGGACACAGGGAGACAUGGCGACACAGGGAGACAUGGCGACACAGGGAGACAUGGCGGCACUUGUGGAUACAGACAUGGGGACACUGGGAGACAUGGGAACACUGGGAGACAUGGGGACACUGGGAGACAUGGGGACACAGACAUUUGGGGACACUGGGAGAAAUGGGGUCACAGACACUAGGGACACAGACAUGGGGACACAGACAUUUGGGGAAACUAAGACACUAGGGACACAGAGACAUGGGAACACAGACACUGGGAGACUAGGGGACACUGGGAGACAUGGGACACUGGCUGGGAGUCAUGGGGACACAGACACUUGGGGACACUGGGAGACAUGGGGGCACUUGUGGACAUAGACAUGGGGCCACUGGGAGACAUGGGGACACUAGGGACACAGAGAAAUAGGGACACAGAGACAUGGGGACACUGGCUGGGAGACAUAGGGACAGUGGGAGACAUGGGGACAUUGAGACACUGGCUGGGAGACAUGGGGACACAGACAUUUGGGACACUGGGUGACAUGGGGACAUUGAGACACUAGGGACACUGGCUGGGAGACAUGGUGACACUGGAGACAUGGAGACACUGUAUCCCUAGUGUCUCUGUGUCCCAAUGUGUCUCCCUAUGUCUCACAGCGUCCCCAUGUGUCUCAGCGUCCUCAUGUCUCACAGUGUCCCCAAGUGUCUCAGUGUCCCCACAACUCCCAGUGUCCCCUAGUGUCUGUGUCCCCAUGUUUCCCCUAGUGUACCCAUGUCUCCCUGCUGCCUUAUUCCCCCAUCCUUCACUUCCCUGAGCUGUAGUCUGUCUCUGCAGGCUGUGAGCUGCUGUUUGAACUCGCUGUGCUGUGUAGCUGAUCAGUGAGUAGAGAGAGGAAGGGAGGGAUAUGCUGUAACUUUCUAUCCCUACCUCUCUCCACACACAGUGACCCCUACUGGCCGGUGCUGGUAUUGCAGAGUAAUCUCUGUUUAUACUGAGAAAAAUAUUUGCAUUUGUAUUGCCGGUAUUACUGCAAUACCGUCAUGGCCAAGCAUCCUCAAAUACCGGCUGUGCCUUAAAAUACCAGUCAGAUGGCAAACCUAAGAGUAGUGUGUGUAAAAAAAAAAUAAAAAAAAUGUUUUUCUUUUUGUUUUUUUAAAUGGGCCUAUUCCAUGGGCCUGGGCCUGGAGCUGCAGCUCCAUCAGCCCCUAUGUUAAUCCGGCCCUGGUGCCAACCCUAAUGACUAGCGACUCCAGCACUGUGUAAGAUACAGGGAUGAUUAUUUUAAUUAUAAUAAACAUAUAGACAUAUGUAUGAUGCAUUAAACACAUGAAAGGGGCUCUCUCUCUCUAGUAAGCCAAAAUUUGAUCCAAUGAUGGCUAUAGUAUCUGUAAUUAUGUUAAAUAAUACACAGCAUAAAUAAAACAAACCAAUAAGGGUGAAAUUGUAUUUUUAAAAACAUGAUUAACUAAUAGUUAUUCUCCCAUAUAGUAUGUUAAUUUAGACAGUUUUAUAAAAGUUGUGGGACAUUGAAAGGGUUAAACCUUAAUUUUAUAUGGAGAUAGGCAAUAAAACAAUACAUUUAUCUAUCUGCCUAUCUAUCUAUCUAUCUACUUAUCUACCUUUCUGUCCGUCCAUCUAUAUCUGUCUGACCUGUCUGUCUAUUUAUUAUUAUUAUUAUUAUUGCCAUUUAUAUAGCACCAACAGAUUCCGUAGCGCUUUACAAUAUUAUGAGAGGGGGGGAUUUAACUAUAAAUAGGACAAUUACAAGAAAACUUACAGGAACGAUAGAUCUAUCUAUCUAUGUAUCUAUUAUCUAUUUAUCUAUCAUUUUAUGUUCUCAGAAAGUAAGCGUGUAAUAGCGUUGCAAGGUAUAUAAACUUGGAUCCUGAAGAUGUUUGGUGUUGAGUUUCUUGAAUUCCAGUUUUCAUUGUAAGCUUGUUUAGGCAGGGCCUAUUCCUCUGCUGUUCCCGUAUGUCAUACAUGUUUCAUUGACUUACAUGGUUGUCUUGUUUACCUAUUGUACAGCGCUGCAGAAUAUGUUGCCGCUAUAUAAAUUAUUGUAAUUAUAUAUUCGUACCUUUGCAGGUACUGAUACUGUAUAUUGCCUAUAAAAUAUUGCCUAUAAAGAUAUAAAAGUGAGAAGUGUUUUAGUAAUCAUAUGUGGCAUUGAGAUGGAAAUACAACAUGGAAACAUGGUAACUAUUUCCUGCGAGUCAGGUAGUUAUAAACACGGUAACUGUUACCUACGAGUCAGGUAGUUAUAAACACGGUAACUGUUACCUACGAGUCAGGUAGUUAUAAAGACGGUAACUGUUACCUACGAGUCAGGUAGUUAUAAACAUGGUAACUGUUACCUAUGAGUCAGGUAGUUAUAAACACAGUAACUGUUACCUGCGAGUCAGAUAGUUUUAAACACUGUAACUGUUACCUACGAGUUAGGUAGUUAUAAACACGGUAACUGUUACCUAUGAGUCAGGUAGUUAUAAACACAGUAACUGUUACCUACGAGUCUGGUAGUUAUAAACACGGUAACUGUUACCUAUGAGUCAGGUAGUUAUAAACACGGUAACUGUUACCUACGAGUCAGGUAGUUAUAAACACGGUAACUGUCACUUACGAGUCAGGUAGUUAUAAACACAGUAACUGUUACCUACGAGUCAGGUAGUUAUAAACACAGUAACUGUUACCUACGAGUCAGGUAGUUAUAAACACUGUAACUGUUACCUACGAGUCAGGUAGUUUAUAACGCGGUAACUGUUACCUAUGAGUUAGGUAGUUAUAAACAUGGUAACUGUUACCUACGAGUCAGGUAGUUAUAAACACGGUAACUGUUACCCAUGAGUCAGGUAGUUUGAAACACGGUAACUGUUUCCUACGAGUUAUGUAGUUUGAAACACUGUAACUGUUACCUACGAGUCAUGUAGUUUGAAACACUGUAACUGUUACCUAUGAGUCAGGUAGUUACAAACACGGUAACUGUUACCUACGAGUCAGGUAGUUAGAAACAUGGUAACUAUUACUUACGAGUCAGGUAGUUAGAAACACGGUAACUGUUACCUACGAGUCAGGUAGUUUGAAACACGGUAACUCUUACCCAUGAGUCAGCUAGUUUGAAACACGGUAACUGUUUCCUACGAGUUAUGUAGUUUGAAACACUGUAACUGUUACCUACGAGUCAUGUAGUUUGAAACACUGUAACUGUUACCUAUGAGUCAGGUAGUUACAAACACGGUAACUGUUACCUACGAGUCAGGUAGUUAUAAACAUGGUAACUGUUACUUACGAGUCAGGUAGUUAGAAACACGGUAACUGUUACCCACGAGUCAGGUAGUUAUAAACAUGGUAACUAUUACUUACGAGUCAGGUAGUUAUAAACACGCUAACUGUUACCUAUGAGUCAGGUACCUACGAGUCAGGUAGUUAUAAACAAGUUAACUGUUACCAAUGAGUCAGGUAGUUAUAAACACAAUAACUGUUACCUACGAGUCUGGUAGUUAUAAACACGGUAACUGUUACCUAUGAGUCAGGUAGUUAUAAACACGGUAGCUGUUACCUUCGAGUCAGGUAGUUAUAAACACGGUAACUGUUACCUACGAGUCAGGUAGUUAUAAACACGGUAACUGUCACUUACGAGUCAGGUAGUUAUAAACACAGUAACUGUUACCUACGAGUCAGGUAGUUAUAAACACUGUAACUGUUACCUACGAGUCAGGUAGUUUAUAACGCGGUUACUGUUACCUAAGAGUUAGGUAGUUAUAAAGACGUAACUUUUACCUACGAGUCGGGUAGUUAUAAACACGGUAACUGUUACCUACGAGUCAGGUAGUUAUAAACACGGUAACUGUUACCUACGCGUCAGGUAGUUUGAAACACGGUAACUCUUACCCAUGAGUCAGGUAGUUUGAAACAUGGUAACUGUUACCUACGAGUUAUGUAGUUUGAAACACUGUAACUGUUACCCACGAGUUAGGUAGUUAUAAACACGGUAACUGUUACCUAUGAGUCAGGUAGUUAUAAACACAGUAACUGUUACCUACGAGUCUGGUAGUUAUAAACACGGUAACUGUUACCUAUGAGUGAGGUAGUUAUAAACACGGUAACUGUUACCUACGAGUCAGGUAGUUAUAAACACGGUAACUGUUACCUACGAGUCAGGUAGUUAUAAACACGGUAACUGUUACUUACGAGUCAGGUAGUUAUAAACACAGUAACUGUUACCUACGAGUCAGGUAGUUAUAAACACUGUAACUGUUACCUAUGAGUCAGGUAGUUAGAAACACAGUAACUGUUACCCACGAGUCAGGUAGUUAUAAACAUGGUAACUAUUACUUACGAGUCAGGUAGUUGAAACACUGUAACUGUUACCUACAAAUCAGGUAGUUAUAAACGCAGUAACUGUUACUUACGAGUCAGGUAGUUAGAAACACAGUAACUGUUACCCACGAGUCAGGUAGUUAUAAACAUGGUAACUAUUACUUACGAGUCAGGUAGUUGAAACACUGUAACUGUUACCUACAAAUCAGGUAGUUAUAAACGCAGUAACUGUUACUUACGAGUCAGGUAGUUAGAAACACAGUAACUGUUACCCACGAGUCAGGUAGUUAUAAACAUGGUAACUAUUACUUACGAGUCAGGUAGUUUGAAACACUGUAACUGUUACCCAUGAGUCAGGUAGUUAUAAACACGGUAACUGUUACCUAUGAGUCAGGUAGUUAUAAACACAGUAACUGUUACCUACGAGUCUGGUAGUUAUAAACACGGUAACUGUUACCUAUGAGUGAGGUAGUUAUAAACACGGUAACUGUUACCUACGAGUCAGGUAGUUAUAAACACGGUAACUGUUACCUACGAGUCAGGUAGUUAUAAACACGGUAACUGUCACUUACGAGUCAGGUAGUUAUAAACACAGUAACUGUUACCUACGAGUCAGGUAGUUUGAAACACUAUAACUGUUACCUACGAGUCAGGUAGUUAUAAACAUUGUAACUGUUACCUACGAGUCAGGUAGUUAUAAACAGAGUAACUGUUACCCAUGAGUCAGGUAGUUUGAAACACUGUAACUGUUACCUGUGAAUCAGGUAGUUAUAAACAAGGUAACUGUUACCUACGAGUCAGGUAGUGUGCGGUGCUUUGCCUUGGUGUUUCAGACAACAGUUAUUGUUUUACUGCUAACUUUCCCUUUUCUUUGUGGGACCAUUAACCAAUUUUUAUUGCUGUAUGUGACUAGCAAACAUUGGCAUAUCUGAAGCUUCCAAAUGUUAAACAGAGCUGUCCCUGGGGCCUGGAGAGGAGGCAUCUUUCUGAACUAGAGGCCUGAAAUGUUCCUGUUGCGGAAGGAUGUUGGCUGGGAAGCCAUUCCAGCACAGAACUAGAGUUACAUUUUUUUUAUGAAUAAAUUACACAUUCAUGGGUGAAGGAACAGUCUUGUGGUUAGAGCUCUGGUCUGCACAGUGGGAGACCCAGGCUACAAGCCAGUCCCACAUUUAUAAAUUGCCAUUUUCUAUAUGAGAUGUUGAGGGUUUUAUAGCUGCAGUUAGAAAAAUAAACUGGAUGUACAAGUUCAGCAGGUCACAGUACCCCCCCCCAGCCUGCUCAUUUCCCAUCACACUUUGCAACGCAAACUGCAAGAUGCAGGGAGGGGACGUAGAGUCCAAUGACUGUGUCAUAGAUCUCCUCUAAAUUUAAAAGUUUACGUGAUGUUUAGCACUUUCUUAUAUCAAAUGCUUUAGAAUCCUUUUACAGCAACAAAGCCCCAGAUAAAAGCAGCAGAAUAUGCAUGUCUGCAUAAAGGGACAAUCCUCUGCCCAAGCACUAAAAUGUUUUUUUUUGUUUUUUUAAAAUCACUGUUUAGUAGACAUACCCCAAUAUAAUUCCCUAUGCAUUCUUUUUUUUAUUAGGGUACAUUUAAAAACAGAUUGCAAAAUCUGCAGAUUACUUAUUUACAGCAUUUGGAGCCCUAACCUUCUUUCCCAGCCAGACUUUCUGUGACUGUCCAAUUUCCCAGCUCAAUGAGAAGUCUUUGCAAGGUAUGUGUUCUGCGAAAUUGCUGCCUCCUGAGUUUCGCUCCACUGAGCUAAACAAACCAGGAAGUAACAGGAACGGUUGUCUGAUUGACAGCCGAGGGAGGUUGGGAUUAAAAAGUAAGUAACAACGGUUAAUUUAUAAACGUGCCAAUUUCUAUUGAAAUCUGUACUUUUGGUAAAAUGAAAAAAAGGCACACUCUUCACACAUAAAGCAUUUCAGGAGGCUCAAGUGCUUUACUGGUCUGAAGUGUUCCUUUAAUUUAGAAUUUCUAUUUGUUUUUAGGACUGAGGCAGAGGUGAGAAGGACAGUGCAGGGGGUUCUGCUUUUAUACAUCGAGCAGGAAAUGCUAUAAUUACUGGUUUUAUAGCCUAAGUAUGUAUGUUUUCAUUUAGCUUAGCUUUCAUUAUUCUUCCCCCUAUUCCACUAGCUCUUGACUAUUUUCCAAUAGGAUAACUAUAUUACCCACUGCAACGUAAAACUGGCAUUAGUGAAACAAACUAUGAUUGGAUUCAUGGCAGGGGAAAUAGGAAUGACACAGAAACCUAGACAAUGUUAUGUGUGGAUUCUUAAAAUGGAAAGUGUGUUUCUUUUGGAUAAAUGUAACAUUCUAAAACACAGUACUGUGAUGAGGUGCACAAUUAUAAAAUGUAAAUUCUAGACGUCCAAUUUGUUUUGUUCUGAAUAGAAUUUCAUCACAUUGCAGGUGAUUUACAAUUUCCAAAGUUUCCAAAUUGACAGAUACCGAAAAGAAAAUGAAUGGAUUUGUCACAAUUCAAAUCAAUUCGUUUUAGAUCAAUUUAUUUUUAAAAGGCCAGCAAAUUAGGGUGUUAUCUACUAAAAAAACUGAAAAAGCAAAAUGAAGAAAAAUGGCUUUUCUUGAUUUUGGUCUUCCAGCUGUUUAGUAGAUAACACCCUAAUUUGCUAUCCUUAUAUGUGAUAGUCUUGUUUAAGAAUAAUAAAUAAGGGAGCUCUCCUAUAAACAGCUGAAAAAAAACUAAAUUAGGAAAAGGUCUUUUUUUUUUCAUUUUGAUCAUUUAGCUGUUUAGUAGAUUACUCCCUUAUUUGCUAUCCUUACAUGAGAUUGCCAUAUCUAAACAGACCAAAUUAUGGAGCUCAAACACUAUUGACGUGAAAAAAAACGUACUAGUAUCCAGAUAUACUUAUCUGAUGUAUUCAAUCAAACAGCCUCUCAAGGUCGUGGCCUAGUUCCCGACCUUUUACAACAUAUAUAUAGGCACAAAAGGAAAUGAGAUUCGGCUGUACAUAAUCUAAAACAGGAACAAAAAAGAACACAUAGUGUGAUACAGUAAAACAAAUGUUAGUGUGCUAAGAUGGUAAUGCACUCACAAGAUCAGAAUGAAUAAUGCGCCAAAAGUGUGCCUGCCCCGGUAAACUUGGGCGGCUGAACGCCUCCACUGGAAAUCCAAGCGGACCAAAAUAGGAAUGAGACUCCGAUGGGUUUGGAUAAAAUAAUUAUGCAAAUUUAUUGUAAAUAAAGGGCCACUGGAUCCAGUGGGAGUUACCGAUGAUUCAAUGAUCUGAAUAGGAUCAUUGAAUCAUCGGUAACUCCCACUGGAUCCACCAAUGAACUGAGGGCUUAGUCCUAUUUAUAGAGACUCGGGGAAUAUUGUAUGCAUUUUUUGUAUUGAUUUUUUUUAUUAUAUUAUUUGUUUUUGGUCCCUGAGGAAGUUCCUGUUUAUAGGAACGAAACGCGUAGGACCUUUCCUCUAUUUUAUUUAUGUGGCUAAUGUAUAUGGCCCUUUAUUUACAAUAAAUUUGCAUAAUUAUUUUAUCCAAACCCAUCGGAGUCUCAUUCCUAUUUUGUUCCACUUGGAUUUCCAGUGGAGAGUGGAGGCGUUCAGCCGCCCAAGUUUACCGGGGCAGGCACACUUUUGGCACAUUAUUCAUUCUGAUCUUGUGAGUGCAUUACCAUCUUAGCACACUAACAUUUGUUUUACUGUAUCACACUAUGUGUUCUUUUUUGUUCCUGUUUUAGAUUAUGUACAGCCGAAUCUCAUUUCCUUUUGUGCCUAUACAAAGUAUGGAGCUAUCUACUAAACAACACAUAGCAGAUGUAUAUAUAUAUAAUUUUUUUUUAAAUGGAUGUACAGAAAUAUUAAAUUAGAGAGGCUCCUAUACAAUUGAAAAUACGCCCAGAAAAUUACGCUAGCAGAUCAAUGUGAAGUUCACAAAUAUGUUUUUUUAUUUAUGUUAUAUAAUUGCAUAAAUAUUAUGGUAAAGGCAAAUAUUCUAAUGGUAAUUAACUGAUUUAACCAUUCCAGUGCCAGAUGUAUGCCACUCUCAUUGCUUUGCAAUGUGCUAGUCAUAUCUCUGGCAUUGAAAGAGUUAAAGGGAUUCUUUAGUGCCAGGAAAACAAACCCGUUUUUGUGGCACUGUAGAUGCCUGCAGUGCCCCCCUCCCCCUGCCCCCAUCCCAUGUCGCUGAAGGUGUUAAAACCCCUUCAGACACGUACCAGAAUCCAGCACCGUUGUUCCUCGGCGCAGGGUCAGGCUCUGCCCACGCUCCUCCCCCGCCGAAGGGGAGACCUAGUGCGCAUGCACGACAGUAACGUAACACCGCAAUAAUUACACUUGCAAGGUUAAGGGUGAUGGGAGUUUGCACCCACACCACUUCAAUGAGCUGAAAUGGUCUGGGUGCCUACAGUAUCCCUUUAAUAAACUAUAAGGAAUUAUAAUAAAUAUGAUUUCUUAGUGAACAGACAGGACACAAUAGACUUUUAACUCAAACAUGUUUUUCUAUAUGGUGUUUGUAAAAAUGGAGUAGGAAAUGUAUUAUGUAAAAAAAAAGAAUGUAUUUUCUUAAUUUAACUUUUAAAUUGAACACGCUACCAAAAUCUGUUCUAGUCUUACUAUAAUUCUGCAUGGAUUAGCGCAGAUUCGGGCAAUGCCUCUAAGAGAAAAAAAUACACAGUCCAGCUUUCUAUAUUCUGUAUUGUUGUAGGUUUGUUUAAAUAUAAAUUUCAUAACAUGGCCUUAUUGUUGAGGUGUGACCAGAAAAUAAUGCAAUGAGUUAGCAAUGUGUAUUUAUUAACAAUCGUGUCAGAGAGUUAUGUUAGUAACAUAUCUCCUCUUUAUUUAUAGGAGGAAUUUAGUCAAUCCUAGCUGAAAAGAUUACAUUACAAAUGAAUAAACGUUUUUACUCAUUUCAGCUCACAGAAGCGAAAUUUCAGACUCUACAACCUUGGGUGGAGGAAAAGUCUGACAUGAGCUUUUCACAAGAAAGUUAAGAUUUCUUGCAUGAAGUGUAAAAGCAAAUUCAUAUUGAUUUUUUAUGUUCUAAAACACAAAAUUUAUAUUUGUACAAGGUGGAAUGAUUUAUAUGUAUCACUGAAUAUCCAUUCAUGUAUCUUUGCAUAUAGUGUUUAAUGGGCUAUUCAACUUACUCUUGGUUUUCGACCAAAUCACAGGUAAGGCAGAAUGAUGAAAUGAAAGGUCGCCCAUGAGAUAUAUAUCUGAUUUAUUGAUUAAAAUGAGAUAAUGGUGCAUAUUUUGCCAUAAAUACAUAACUACUAGAUUUGUGCAUCCGGUUUCAAAUAAACUGCUGUUCUUCCAAAUUUUGGGUGAUUGGCGACUUGUCCGAAAUCUUGAAUUCCAAAAUUAAUCUUAAAAAAACAAACGAAAAAGGGCAAUGAUUUCAUGAUUUGGAGUUCCCUCCGUGGUGCCCCCCAAAAAAGGUAAUUCAUGGAAAAAAGAUGAUUGAUGGUUAGGGGAUAGCUACUAAAUGUUGACUUUAUUCACAGAUCAAGAUAAUAUAUUUCUAUAUUAUAUAUUUAUUACAUAUAUAAUAAAUAUAGAUUUUUCUAACUGCUUUUCCUCCUUUUCUCUCUAUUGGCUAAUUUUUCUCACUUGAUCUGUGUACCAAAUAGUGCAAAAAUGCUCCUAUCAGUGUACAGCAAAAUAUAUACAUAGUAUUUAAAUUUUGCAGCACAGUUAUUGGCAAAUUUACACUCCAUUUUGGUUCUCCUGAAUUGUUUUUUAUGAAAUGAUUGCUUGGACGAAAUGUAUCCAAACCUCAACACCACAGAAAAGACACCCAAACUGCCCAAAACAUUUUUUUUUUCAAUGAAUCGAUUCAGACUGUCAUAAUUCUUUUGCCAUGUAAAAGUCUAAUAACUACGGUGGUUCUGUAAUCUUAUCAUGUUUUCUAGCAUUGAUGGACUUGUCUGUAGAUGUAUAGUUAUUUACGUAAGACAUCAAUACUCACUAGGUUAUGAUUGUACUGUUGGGUACUGACAAGGGAAUGGUAACAUUUCAACUAAAAUAGCUGAGCUCCAAAAGUUAUAUUCUGUACUUCCAGUGUUGAUUAAAUAUAAUUUAUUACUUAGUGAAUGAAUACUUAUAUGUUCAUAAAAUGUCAAACCCAUCCAUGGAUUUUUUUAUUAGUGCACACAUUACAGUGAUCAUUUGUGUGUCAAUCUGAAAGUUGACACAAAAUAGUAAAGGAUCACUAUAGGGUCAGGAACACAAAUGUAUGAAAACCCACCAUUAGGCGGCUCCUUACCCCCUGCCCCACCCCUUAGCCCUCUCAGAAUGGGUUAAAACUCACCUUAUUUUCAGCUCUCCACUGGUCCGCUGGCACUGGGCCCGCCCCCUUGGUGACAUCAUCAAAAUAGCAGAUUUUUAGCCAAUCCAAUGUUUUCCCAUGGGGAAAGCAUUGGACUGGCUAAAAUCACCAAGGGGGUGGGGCCAAACACAGUUUUGGACAAUCUGCACCUCCUCAUAGAUAUGCAUUGAAUCAAUGCAUCUCUAUGAGGAAAAUUCAGGGUCCCCGGCACAGCGCAGGGACGUUGAACGGCAGGGCUGCUUACUGUGCAGCCCUGAGCCAGGAAGCCCCUCCAGUGAUAAUUUGAGGAGUGGCUACUUGGAGGUGUCCCUAUGGGCAAUGUAAACACUGCCUUUUCUCUGAAAAGGCAAUAUUUACAUGAAAAUGCCUGAAGGGAGCUAUUUAUAAAUAAAUAAAUACUCACCAUAACAACUACAUUAAGCUGUAGUUGUUCUGGUGACUGUAGUGUCCCUUUAAACUAGAGCACAUAUGUUCUUUCUAUGCCAAAAGUGUGCAUGGUCUAAAAAAAAUUUAACACAACAAAUGAAAAUUAAGGUUUAUUAUACAUGAACUUUUAUGUGUGGGUUGUGAUAAGUUUGUAGAUUUUUGUUAAUAAGAAUAAAUAAUCAGGUUACAAUGACCCAAGAUAUCAUUGGUUUUUUUUAUUACCAGGUGAUAGUCAUACUGCACAAUGUUGCUUGCUGUGGGAGCACCGUUGUAGAAGCUUUAGAACUUGAUAUGCACUAAUUAUGUCAGUGCAAUCACUCAGGCAUAGAAGUAGGUCAACUGGGUCAGCAAUUCCAUUUUAAUCCUUUAUUUGGGGAUUCUUGUAGCUCUUGAUUCUGAAAUAAGAUCAGUAGGAGAUUUGCCAACACUGGAUAUGAUUGUUUAUAGCAAAAAUAAAUAGAAUUAAACUAUUUGAAUUAAAUUGUUAAAUAUAUGUAGCAGAAAUUGCCCCAGCCAUGCAAAUGGAUUUCCAUUACUCCUGUGUCUGACUGUUAAGAGGAAUGGGUAAAUCAUUUAUUACAUUUGUCUAUUUGCCUGACUGAAUUAGGUUGAUGAAUUUUACCACAUUACGGGAGGCUUUGUAUUUUGCAUUGACUUUCUUUACUUUUAAACUCCAGCAGCAAACAGGUUACCGUAUAUACUCGAGUAUAAGCCGACCCGAAUAUAAGCCAAGGCCCCUAAUUUUACCACAAAAAAAUGGGAAAACUUAUUGACUCGAGUAUAAGCCUAGGGUGGGAAAUGCAGCAGCUACUGGUAAAUUUCUAAAUUAAAUUAGAUCCCAAUAAAAUUACAUUAAUUUAAUAUUUAUUUACAGUGUGUGUAUAGAAUGAAUGCAGAGUGUGUGUUUGUAUGUGUAUAUAAUGAAUGCAGAGUGUGUGUUUGUGUGUGUAUAUAUAAUGAAUGCAGUGUGUGUGUGUUUGUGUGUUGUGUGUGUAUAUAAUGCAGUGUGUAUAUAAUGCAGUGUGUGUGUUUGUGCAGUGUGUGUAAACUGGAUGAGGGGAGGGCAUUUUUAUUUUUAUUUUUUUAUUUUAUUAUAUUAUUUUAAUAUUAUUAUUAUAUUAUAUUAUUAUUUUAAUAUUAUAUUAUUUUAAUAAUAUUAUUAUUUUAAUAUUUGAAUUAAUUUUUCUUUAAUGUUUUUUUUGUCCCCCCUCCAUGCUUGUUGCCUGGUCAGGGAGGGGGGACAACAUUUUUUUUUUUUUUUAAAUAAUGCAAAUAUUAAAAUAAUAAUAAUAUAAUAUUAAAAUAAUAUUAAAAUAAUAUAAUAUUAAAAUAAUAUUAUUAUAUUAUUAUUAUUAUUAUUUUAAUAUUUGCAUUAUGUUUUUAAAAAUGUUUUUGUCCCCCUUCCCUGGCCAGGCAACAAGCAGGGAGGGGGGACAAAAACCAUUUAAAAAAAAUAAUACAAAUAUUAAAAUAAUAAUAAUAUAAUAAUAAAAUAAUAUUAAAAUAAUAUAAUAUUAAAAUAAUAAUAUUAUUUUAUUAUUAUAUUAUUAUUUUAAUAUUUGCAUUUUUUUUUUAAAUGUUUUUUUGUCCCCCCUCCCUGCCCAGGCAACAAGCAGGGAGGGGGGACAAAAACCAUUUAAAAAAAAAUAAUGCAAAUAUUAAAAUAAUAAUAAUAUAAUAAUAUUAUUUUAAUAAUAUUAUUUUAUUAUUAUUAAAAUAAAAUAAUAUUAAAUCGCUGGUGGUCCAGUGGCAUUGGCAGUUCAAUGGGGGGGCUGACAGCGAGGUGUUACUUACCUUCCUGCAGCUCCUGUCAGCUCCCUCCUCCUUCGUGCAGCUCCUCGGUCAGCUCGUUCUGUUAACAGUGUAAGUCUCGCGAGACCUGCGGCUCUCGCGAGAUUUACACUGGGAGCAGAACGGAGCUGACCGAGGAGCUGCACGGAGGAGGAGGGAGCUGACAGGAGCUGCAGGAAGGUAAGUAACACCUCGCUGUCAGCCCUCAACAGGACCGCCGGCUUGUAAUGAGCCCGGCGGUCCUGGUCUGUAUUAUGGCAAUGUAAAUUGCCAUAAUACAGACUAACUCGAGUAUAAGCCGAGUUGGGGUUUUUCAGCACAAAAAAUAUGCCAAAAAACUCGGCUUAUACUCGAGUAUAUACGGUAAUCAAAAAACUUUAACCAAUCAAAACAACCAGUUUUCACAUAUAUAAGUAAGGCCAGACCCUAACUCUUCCUCUUUCUUUGCUGCUCCGUCAGAGUGACAGUUUAAAGUAUUUGCUUCCUACCUAAUAAUCUCUAUUGUAUAGUUUUAUUAAUACUGUAUUCCUUAGGGUAUUUCCCUUUCUCACAUUUACCAUACUUAUAUUGUUUGUGUAUGCCAUAGUCUCUCUCUUGUUCCUGUUGAGCUCUAUUAUCUGCGCUUUAGACUUUCCUGUCAGACCUCAGACAUACUGUUUUCCUGAGCCCCCCUUCAGUCUGCUGAUUCGAAUUCCUAAUAUACACCCGACCGCAGCCGGCGGCAUUUUGUUUUUCAGUUUAACUCAUGGAUGGCAUUGUGUUUCAGGGCUCUUUGGAUCACUUAAAACAAUCUUGGACACCUGUGAUAAUUAGAUUGCCAGGUGAGCCCAAUUUAAGGAAAAACUACUAAAGGAGGGUGUUCCACAUUAUUACGCAGAGCACCAUUUUUAUGCAAUAUGGGGAAGAAAAAGGAUCUCUCUGCUGCCAAAAAGAGUGAAAUAGUUCAAUGCCUUGGACGAGGUAUGGAAACAUUAGAUAUUUCACAAAAACUUAAUCGUGAUCAUCACACUAUUAAGAGAUUUGUGGCUGAUUCAGAGCACAGACAGGUUUGUGCAGAUAAAGGCACAUUGAGGAAGAUUUCUGCCAGAUCCAUGCAUCGGUUCAAGAGAGCAGCUGCUAAAAUACCAUUACAUAGCAGCAACAGAUAUUUGAAGCUGCUGGUGCCCCUGGAGUCCCACAGACAUCAAGGUGUAGAGUCCUCCAGAGUUUUGCAACUGUGCAUAAACCUUCUAUUCUGCCACCACUAACCAAUGCUCACAAGCAGAAACAGCUGCAUUGGGCAGAAAAAUACAUGAAGACUAAUUUUCAAACAGUCCUGUUCACUGAUGAGUGCCGUGCAACCCUGGAUGGUCCAGAUGGAUGGAGUAGUGGAUGGUUGGUGGACGGCCGCCCUGUUCCAACAAGGCUGCGACGUCAGCAAGGUGGUGGUGGUGGAGUCAUGUUUUAGGCCGGAAUCAUGGGAAGAGAGCUGGUCAGCCCCUUUAGGGUCCCCGAAUGUGUAAAGAUGACCUCUGCAAAGUAUGUGGAGUUUCUGACUGACCACUUUCUUCCCUGGUACAGAAGGAAGAACUAUGCUUUCCGUAAUAAAAUCAUCUUCAUGCAUGACAAUGCACCAUCUCAUGCUGCAAAGAAUACCUCUGCAUCAAUGGCUGCUAUGGGGAUAAAAGGAGAGAAAGUCAUCCUAUUGAGAACCUUUGGAACAUCCUCAAGCAAAAGAUCUAUGAGGGUGGGAGGCAGUUUACAUCCAAACAGCAGCUCUGGGAGGCAAUUCUGACAUCUUGCAAACAAAUUCAAGCAGAAACUGUCCAAAAAUGCACAAGUUCAAUGGAUGCAAGACUUGUGAAGCUGCUAUCAAAUAAGGGAUCCUAUGUUAAAAUGUAACGUGACCUGUUAAAAUGUUUAAAAAGUUAAAAUGUUGUUAUAAGUUUAAUUGAAAUAGCUUUUGAUUUCAGUAAAUAUGCUGCAAACACAACAAAUGACAAUUUUCAGUUCUUUACAACCUAUAAAGUGUUUUGAAACUUACUGUGCGUAAUAAUUUGGAACAGUGCAUUGUAAGUUUUUUAUGUUUAAAAAAAUACUGUUAUCAUUAGGAGGUUUGUGCAAUAAAAUUUGAAUUGUACUAUUAAUAGUUGAUAACAUGAGAAUUAUGCUGACUGUUAUUUACAUAAAUUAUUUAGGUAAAGGAGAAAAAUAUAAUUUGCAUAAUAAUUUGGAACAGGGUAUAUAUAUCAUUGUCUUUCUGUAUCUUUGGCUAAUGAGGCCAACUAACGGUUGCUGGCACGAUGAGAUAAUGACGUCGACAUCACAUGGACGUCAUGCACACACGCAUUGACGCGGGCAGAACCUGUGUGAGAUUCAAACCGGGCUGACAGGGAAUAGGAGACUAUUCCGGUGGUGUGUAAGUUAAUUGUUUGUAUGUAUUUGGGUAUAUAGGUCAGCACUUGAACUGUAUUAGUUAGUCCUAAUGAACUGUGGAUAACAGACUGAAAGGUCGAUUGAUUUUUAAUCUUUUUAAUCUAAAAAAAGUUUUAUUUAGCAAAAAGUCCUGGAAGUGCUAUCUGGUUAUUAACAUGUCCCCAUAUUUACAAGGGUUUCGCUCCCUUAUGUACCAGCCACUCCUAAUGACCGGCACUAUAAUUGAGCCCCCAUAUCAAUUAUAAUUGUGGGGAUUGAAAGAGAUAUCCACCCACAUACCAGGAUACCCCCAAUUGCACUGAGCAAGGGGUCUACCCACAAGGUUGUGAAUAUGCACGUGGGUUAACACAUAGGUCCUCUAUUCCACAGGACAAAACAUAUUCUAUCAUGUUGGUGUCACGGUGCCUGAACGGUACCUCAGUGUGACCACACCGAUCACUAUCACAAUGCCCAAUCGGCACCACAGUGUGGCAGCGCCUGAUUGGCGCAGUUGCAUUAAAGGAGGGAGAGGUUACUCACCUCACCACCAGAGCCUCUCCCUCGAUGCAGCUUGUGGAUCAGUGGCCGGAUCCAGCGUUGGGAGGGACGCCGGUCGCUUCAAGACGGCGCUAAAUAAUAACGCCACCCACAAUGACGUCACUAGUGAUGUGAACGUGCAUGCGGAGUCACGUUUUCACUGUGCACGCACAUUCUGGGGUCAUGGGACCCAAAUUAGCCAAUAGCAGAAUUUACCCAAACCUGCAGUUGUUCAGUGCCCUGUCAUGGUUUCCAUCCUGUUGGUUAUCUGAGUGCGCGUUCCUGAUUCUGAUUAUUGGCUUUUGAUCUUGGCUUGGCUUGACUUCCUGUAUUUCUGGUAUCCCUGACCCUUUGGCUUUGUUCUGUAUGUAUUUGUUCCUUUCUGUAUUCCUGACCUCGGCUCGUUACUGUUUAUUCUAUUAAGUUAAUUUUGGCCAUUCUAAGUCCCGGUAAUACAUUGUUACUGUUUGUAUUUGUUACGUGUUUUACUUAAUUCUGCGUGUUUGGCCACUGGUCCGUCCUGACAGUUGGACUCCCCACAACAGAGUCAAGAAUUGCAAGCGAUGAUUACCGCUGCCAUCACAGCUUCUAUGGAGAAAGCGAUCUCAAAGGUGUUGUCUCAUGUACCACCUGAUAUUUUCACCCAAACUAGGGGACUGAUGCCGCAAAAUGCGAAGGGUGAUAUGGGCUCAGAGGCUCCUUGCAAGGACCUCCAUUACCUUACUAUACACUUAAGAGCCGGCCUUACAGUGCCACGUGCUCAGGCAAAAGGGAAGACUCCUGCUAAAUGCAGCAAGCAUCUAUCAAGACUGGAACUAGGCCAACCGGUGUUAUCCUCGGAGGACGAUGAGGCUUAUCCUCCAACCCUACACGUCAUAAAUGAAUGGCAUACGUAGGCCUCAGAAUCAGAUGGAGGGUGGAAGGUACGAAUGGCAAGACCUACACACAGAUUCCAAAUAUGUAAACGAAUCUUACGCUGAGGACUCGUUCUCUCAGGAUACGCAAGGCUCCUUCCUAACAGAGGAUGAAGGGCUGUGCCUGGACACCCAAGUUGCCCCCUUUUGGACCCAAGGUCCAUCCGCCACCCCUCAGAGAAUCUACCAACCCACCUGGAAAAAAUUAAUACAUUUCUGGUUGCGCAAACCACUGUAUCGGAGGGUACGUGCACACCUUAGGGCCGAAUGUCCGAGACCACACUACCAGACAAAAUUGCCUUUACUCCUGAAUUCGAUCAGACAUUGGUAGUCUUCAUGUCCCAGACGGGACGCAACCCAUGGAAAAGGGUCGAGAAGGGACUCAAAGCAUCCCAAGACAAGCUUCUGGAUCUACUGGGCCCCAUCGCCAAGAUCCUAUAGUUUGCGGACCUGACCCUCUCCCAGGGCACACAAUUGGACCAAAACACCAUCAGGGAAUGGGCCCAAUGAUUUAUAUGUAGGCAGGGUAACAACAACGCAGCACUUUGCACAGAAUGACGCAGAAUGACCCUUAUGCGAAUCGACUCCGAACUUAUGAAUAUGGCCCAUAGAGAACUGGGACCAUCAGCCAAUGGCCUACUAUUCGGCGAUUCCUUUAUCGUGGAACUCAGGAAACAUGUAUCUAUAUUCACAACUCUACAAUGAAGCACAGUCCUCAAUGAGAUAAGUAUUCUGAUCUCCGCCCGGACGUAGUGUUUUGGGAGGCUGGUCGGCAGAAGGGCCGAGCCACCAGCCGAUUCUGGAACUCAGGCUCCAAUCCAAAUUUCCUAUCAUCCUCCUUCUACCCAACAUCCACCUCGCGCAACUCAUCGUCCUACCGAGGAACGGACAGUGCCAUAGGUUACCGAGGCAGAGGUCGGGACGAUUUAACACAGGUGAAUCCACUUUACCAUACAAAUGCCUCCGUUAAAAGCUUCUACAGACCACGAAGCCUUAAUCGGUGACGAAAUCCAAACUCUUUUCUCCAAAGGCGCAGUGCAGAAGGCGACGACGGCUUCUACAGCAACAUAUUCAUUGUGCAGUCAUCAACCUACAACAACUGAACGCCUUCGUAGUAUACCAUCACUUCAAAUGAUCCACCUACUUCGUGAUCUGCUCCUCCUCAAUGAUUGGUUCAGCAGACUGGAUCUCAAGGACGCAUAUGGUACAAUCAUAGCGAAAAUUCCUGCGCUUCCGAAGUCACGACCGGACAUGUCAGUUCACAUGCCUACCAUUCGGACUCAGCUCGGCUCCGUGGUGCUUCACGACAGGUGUUGAAGCCAGUUAUGGCACGCUUUUACUCUUUAGGGACUCAAUGCAUAAUCUAUCAGGAUGUUCCUACAAUCAGAUAGUACACUCACAACCGAGGUACAGACGGAACUCCAUUGGUGGUUCCUCCAUAUUUGGUCCUACACCGGAUUUCGUAGUGGAAUCAGACGCCAGCCUAUGUGUUGGGGAACACAAUGCACAGACUCAUCCACAGGAGGACCUGGUCGAUCAAGGAGAAGGACUUACACAAAAAUUGUUUGAAACUGAUAGCAGACUCGUUUGCUAACCCCAGUCAGAUGUCCAACUGUUGCAUCUUACUACGCAUGGAAAACAUCUCGGCGGUUCAAUACAUCAAUCACCUAGGGGAGCUCGAUCUCGAACAAUAUCAGAUGCAACGAAGGAUAUCUACGGUGUUUGCCUCUCACGCAAUAUCACACUCACAGCGGACUGGUACUCCCGACACUGGAGAGAUGGAAGCGACUGGCAUCUCCACGAGUUGAUCUUCCACAAACUAUACCAAUACAGGGGGUCUCUGAUCAUCGACCUUUUUGCCUCACGGACCAAGCAUUAACUUCCCAGGUUCUUCAGCUGGCUACCGUAUCCAGAAUGCAAAGCAGUAGAUGCGCUCCUCCAGGACUGGCCGAACAGGGGAGCUUACACCUUUCCCCCUUCUCCAAGUUAGUGAGAGUGAUAUAUCACAUAUGAACCCAGAGAACUUCUCUGCUCCUCCAAUCACCACUCUGGCAGAGUCAAGCGUGGUUUCCGGAUCUGCUGGAAUUGUCAUAAAACCAUCCGCUCCUCAUACCUUCAUUCCCCCUGCUACUAUCCUUUCCUCAGGGAGAACCUCAACCCAUCGUACUACAAGACUGUCUGGUCCUAGGUUCUUGGAUGCUUUCAAGGGAGCUCGGUCCAUAGACGGACUAUCGCAGAUCACUAAGGACCUACUAUGGGAUUCAUGGGCACCCAGAACCAGACAAAGUUAACUCGCCUCCUGAAACAAAUGGUCUAGCUGGUGUUUGGAGAGGGACUCCGAUCCCUUUACAGCACCUAUUCCCACGAUUCAUAAUUUUCUCUCUUAUUGAGUCGGGACGUUCCUAUCGGUCCAUUAGUGUCACAUGACUGGCGAGUUCGACAGCUCACGUUCCCGUACAAGGUCUCCCAGUGGGUCAAAAUCCUCUGAUUGGCAGACUCUUCAGAGGUAUUCGACUGUCACAUCCUCCAGCUCUGAAAUAUUCGAGGCUUUGGGAUGUCAACAUGGUGUUACGAAUUUUCCGGAUUGGCCGGACAAAGUUGUCCCUACGUCAACUUUCACACUCCAUACAGGGCGCAGCUGUGAUGCAUGAUUUUUCGACAGGUGAAUCUCUCACGGAUAUUAUGCGCUCGGCGGAUUGGUCACGAGAGGACACAUUUUGGAUUUUUUAUUUUAGACCUUCUCACACUUCUUUUUCUCUAAUUGAAUAGCGUUGCAAAAUAUGAGGCCUCCUGUCAUGUGGUAAAAUUGCAGAUUAUGCUAACGUAGUGUUCCUUAUAAUCUUAAUUUUAGUAAUGACAGGAGGCGAGUAUUUUCCCUCCCUGUCACCCCCCCCUUUAUCUUUCCCAUAUUUUGUUCAACUUGUUUUAUAUGUUUUUUUCUACAAUUUAUCUUUCUAGAAGUAGAACAGGGAUUUUUAUAUUUUUUCUACUAAAUGUUAUGUAGUUAGUGCUUGGAUUUCUUUGUUAUUUAUUAGUGUUUGUAUAGGCAGUUUUAUUAGAACAUUAUGACUGCCAUUUAUUCGAUAUUUAAUAUAAUAAGAAGUAGAAUUACGGUCACUACAAGUACCUUUCAAUUGUUUCUUGUUUAUUUCAGCAUGAAUAUCAUCACCCAACACCCAACUCAGAAAGUUCAAUUUCUACUGUUUCUGUUCCUGUUGAAUGGAUUAUCUACGCUCAUUGCUCACAUCAAAGAAAGAGGAAGAGUUGGGGACUGUCCUUGCUUAUAUAAGUGAAGACUGGUUGUUUUGAUUUGUUAAAGUUUUUUGAUUGACCGGUUUGCUGCUGGGGUUUAAAAGUAAAGAAAGUCAAUGCAAAAUACUCGCCUCCUGUAAUUACUAAAAUAAAGAUUAUAAGUACACUACGCUAGCAUAAUCUACAAUUCUAACCCAUGUUGUCUGAAAAUAUGGUAUCCAAACAACAACAGGCAUCUUUUGGUGCUUGAAGAUCCACCUACUAAGAAAAAAAACUUUAGUUGGGGGUCAUAAGAAUUCUUUUUUCACCUGCUUAAUGUCUUCAGUAAUAUUUGUCUAAUGGGGUAUUCUAAAAGUUAUCUUAUCAUAUUUAGCUGAACACAUUUUACACCACUCCACAAGAGAUCCUUGAGUAGCUGAAUAACAAUGAAACCAUCUUCCAUUAACGGACCAAUAUAGUUCCAAGAAAACAAACUAAUUUUCCUGGCACUAUAGGGUCUUUAGGUCACCCUCAGGGUCCCACUUGAUAUAGAUCCAAAUAAUGAUCUUUGUUAUAUUCAGAGGAAGCCGCUGGGCUGGAGGGGGCUGAAGGGGUUAAACACUUACCUUUCUCCACCGCCGGGCUCCCUCGGCGCUGGGGAACUCUCCUUCCUCUGCCGAAGUCAGUGCUGAAUGCGCAUGCGCGGCAAGAGCCGCGCGCACAUUCAAUCAGUCCAUAGGAAAGCAUUACUCAAUGCUUUCCUAUGGACGUCCAGCGUCUUCUCACUGUGAUUUUCACAGUGAGAAGCGCGGAAGCGCGGAAGCGCCUCUCGCAGCUGUCAGAGACAGCCACUAGAUGCUGGAUUAACCCUCAGUGUAAACAUAGCAGUUUCUCUGAAACUGCUAUGUUUACAGCUGCAGGGUUAACACUAGAUGGACCUGGCACCCAGACCACUUCAUUGAACUGAAGUGGUCUGGGUGCCUAUGGUGGUCCUUUAAGCAGAGGGUGGGAUUUUUUUUCCAAUUUAACAGUAUAUCUCAUGGAUUGAAAAAUCACUGUAAGAAUGAACCAGCAAGAAUUCAAGGUGUUAAAAUUUUAGGUCAAUGUAGCAUAACUGAAAACAUAGAUGAGAAUUUUUCUACUUUCCUACAAAUUUGAAAUUCACAUAAAAUUCUGACAAUUCACGCUUGAUAACCCUGAAAAAUUAAAACAAUUAAUUAGAAAAAACAUUGGUGAAAUCAAAAUGUUUUAUAAAAUAUACAUCAAUCCUUGUUUUAUGUAUCCCUCUAAACACCUAUCCCACCAGCGGGUUACAUUAGAUAAGUAUCAGGUAUGUUGACUUUACAACAUUGUAAAUUAGUAACAAAAUCCCAAGACAAGUACAGUCUACUUUCUCUGCUUUUGUUAGAGUUCCCUAUUCUGACAGCACAUACAAUCUAAUAAUAGGAUAAUUUAAUUCAGCAUUCAUUACGGGAUAAAGUAACAAGCAAAUGGUUGGAUUGUUUUGUCUAGUAGAAAAGAAAACAGCCAUUUUGCUGAGGGGGAGGGGAACAUGAAAAGAUGUUAUUCACUUGAACAAUCCCUUUUGCAGCUCAGAGUGCAGCUCUUGGGAUUUGGCUGGGUUGUUACAUGGUUUACUUUCUCUCAUCAUUGUUCUGAACAUAGAGAUGGCUCAAGUCCUUUGAGUACUAUUAACAUGGACGUCUCGACAAAAAAAAUACCCAGAAUGCAAAGGCUGAGAUUAAUGUGCUAAACAAACAAGGGGCAUUGCUGACUCCAGAUUAAGCUUUCAAAACAGACAUAAAACAGUGUCUAAAAUCUGUUUGCCUGUUUAGGUAGUAAGAAGGGACUUCGGUUGAAAAAUAAUGCAUUUUAACCACUAGUCCAUUAGGAAAAGUUGUCAAGCACAUUCUUUUUGUUUCAUGCAGAUAUACAUUGUUUUGUAAAUUUAGAAUGAAAAUGUAUCUCCACGCCCUUCAGAAACAUAUGUGGUAAAUAAAUAAUUACCGGGUACUUAUAAAUACUAUUAAUAUUUACCAAAAUACAUGUAAAUUUACACUUGGAUCAAUAUUGUUAUAAGAAUUAUCAUGCCUUUUUAUAUUAUACAUUUUUUUUUCAUGUUUAAACAUUUGUUCUUGAAUAUUUUUUAUGAAUAAUCAUUUUCUUUAAAUGUAUUUUGUGUUUAUUCACUUUACUCCAAGCUGCAGCAAAUGAUAGCUAUAAAUUGGUGUAACAUGGAUGCAAAAUACUCAUUAAGGUGUCAGGUUCCUCUAUGAGCGCAGCAAAAAAUUUUUUAAAGGAAAUUAAGUUUUGGCAGUGGUGGUGCGCACUCUGGGCAUGGCUGCCCUGGUAGGAAUCUGUUGAAAAGAAAGAGCAAACUUUUAAGAUGGCACCUGCUUUUUUUUCCUCCAUAAGUUGCAGCAGCCUAUCACACUUAGCCAGGGGCUCCCAACCCAGUCCUCAAGUACUCUCUACCAUUCCAUGAUUUAGGGAUUACUCUGUUGUGUUAAAAGUGUUUUUUUUUUUCUUCUAAAAAUACCUUAGACACAAUUUGGUAAUCCCUAAAUCCUGGACUGGAAAGGUUCUUGAGGACUGGGAUGGGAAACACUGCACUAAGCUAUCUCAACCCCUCAUUCCCGACAAAGGAUCAGAACAUGGGGGUUUGCUGAGAAGAAUUCUGUGCAGAGUAUACUUUAUUUAAUUUUCAUAUAUUUUUUACAUUUUAUAUCUGUAAAGCAAUCUCGUUGCAGUGAAUUGAGUGCCCAGAGCCCUGGCCACCAUUCAUUGUUAAAUUUGUGAAUGGUGGUAUUUGGGCUCCCGCUGCUCAAGCUAAUUAGCCCAAAUAUCGAAUAGCCCAAGCAGCGAUAGGCUGAGAGGAUUAGCAGAAUACUUUCAUACUUUUACUGAAGCCCAUCAUCGGUAUUUAUUGAUAUGGUUAUUGCAGUUACCCAUACUGCCAGUGACCAGUGGAACCACGGUACCUGGGAACCCUAAUUCAGUGUCAUAUCAAUCAGUUUGACACUGAACAAAAGGACGGCACAAGGGAAAUCUAGACACCAUAACCAUUUCAAUGGGAUGAAGGGGUUAUGGUACUUAGAGUCCCUUUAACUAAGUAACUACAAUUCCACUGAAUCACGUUAAAGACUCAACAAAUGUAGUGGUAAUUUACCACAGGACCACAGGAAUUGAAGUUCAGUGAGAACUGGAAAACUAUUUAUUUGCUCUAACUGCAAUGGAACUUUUACAAGUCUUGCAGUGCUCCUGUUGGUGUACUUAAAGAAUAGUAUAUUGUGCUGUGGACACGAUUAUGCAUUUCAUUGUACAAAUUACCAAGAGGGAUUAUGGCAAGUUCAGAGUAGUUUGUUUGUGCAUAUUGUACAUUUGAAAACAUGGUUUACAGUUAUUCAAAACUGCUGCAUAACCACCAAUGUGUUGGAAAAUAGGUGAAUGCUAUGGAGUCUUCAUUGUUUGUGUAUAAUAUGUUUGUAAAAAAACAAAUACAAGUCUUGUUCAUUCAUCUCUCUACCUAGGCAUGCUUCUGCAGAUAGACAAACAGAUGGAAAGACAGAUAAAUGGACAGACGAAUGGAAAGAGAAGUGUAUGGACAGACAGACUAAAUGUGUAUGUAUUCAGGUGGCACAUUUGUAUUCCCAUUUUAACUGAUAAGGAUUAAGGGCUGAGUGAACAAAGAAUAAUCUCUGUGUAUUCCUUACAUCGGGUGAUAAAUUACCAUAGAUUUUGCUAACAAACAGUGAAUCCCUUUCACUAAAAAAUUAUAGAUUUAGCAAAAGCAACAAGUAGCGCGUGCACUGCCAAAACGGCAGCAACCAUCAUAGAUCUAAAACAAAGAACGCUGUUCACUAACCAAUGAACAACACUCGCCUGCCAAAUUCUCUUUAUGAUAAUGUAGCUUCGCACAGCUUUGAUCAUUGCCACAUUAAGCACGAAAUUUGACUUCAGCCAUUAUAUCAAACAAAACUGAAAGUCACGUCUUUAAUAUAUUAAAGGGAAAGCGUGGUAAAAAUCUUAGUAAGGUUACAUGAAGGUCAAAACAACAGUAUCCUAGUUUUAUUAUUACAAUGCUGCAACUGUGCAAGAUCGUGUUUUAGAAUAUGUUGCCAGAAAUUGAUUUUUUUUAGGGUGGAUGACAAUUUCUUUUGGUUUUGUAAUCUUUAAAGUUUUUACAUGCUGAAGGUCUCUCUAGAUCAUCUCUAUAGACUAAAAUAAAAUAAUUAAAUGUCCACCUUUUCAUGAUCAAUGUAUGUGUGUUACAUUUCUCAUUUUCCCUUUGUAUCUGCUUCUUUCAGAAAUUACUAUCUCGGUGAAUAACCUAAUGAAGGCAUG